UGGGGAAUAUUGGACAAUGGGCGAAAGCCUGAUCCAGCAAUGCCGCGUGAGUGAUGAAGGCCUUAGGGUUGUAAAGCUCUUUUACCAGGGAUGAUAAUGACAGUACCUGGAGAAUAAGCUCCGGCUAACUCCGUGCCAGCAGCCGCGGUAAUACGGAGGGAGCUAGCGUUGUUCGGAAUUACUGGGCGUAAAGCGCGCGUAGGCGGCUUUUCAAGUCAGGGGUGAAAUCCCGGGGCUCAACCCCGGAACUGCCCUUGAAACUGGAUGGCUAGAAUACUGGAGAGGUGAGUGGAAUUCCGAGUGUAGAGGUGAAAUCCGUAGAUAUUCGGAAGAACACCAGUGGCGAAGGCGACUCACUGGACAGUUAUUGACGCUGAGGUGCGAAAGCGUGGGGAGCAA
rnacentral:rRNA from 1 species